GCGGCGCGGAUGCUUACGGCCUAACACAUGCAAGUCGAGCGAGAAAGCACUUCGGUGUGAGUAGAGCGGCGGACGGGUGAGUAACGCGUAGGAAUUUGCCCAGUAGUGGGGGACAACAUGUGGAAACGCAUGCUAAUACCGCAUACGCCCUAUGGGGGAAAGCAGGGGAUCUUCGGACCUUGCGCUAUUGGAGAAGCCUGCGUCGGAUUAGCUAGUUCGGAUUAGCUAGUUGGUGGGGUAAAGGCCUACCAAGGCGACGAUCCGUAGCUGGUCUGAGAGGAUGAUCAGCCACACUGGGACUGAGACACGGCCCAGACUCCUACGGGAGGCAGCAGUGGGGAAUAUUGGACAAUGGGCGAAAGCCUGAUCCAGCAAUGCCGCGUGUGUGAAGAAGGCCUUAGGGUUGUAAAGCACUUUCAGUAGGGAGGAAAAGUUAGUCGUUAAUAACGGCUAGCCCUGACGUUACCUACAGAAGAAGCACCGGCAAAACCCGUGCCAGCAGCCGAGGUAAUACGGAGGGUGCGAGCGUCGUUAAUCGGAAUUACUGGGCGUAAAGAGCGCGUAGGUGGUUAGUUAAGUUGGAUGUGAAAGCCCCGGGCUCAACCUGGGAACUGCAUUUAAAACUGGCUAACUAGAGCAUGGUAGAGGAGAGUGGAAUUUCACGUGUAGCGGUGAAAUGCGUAGAGAUGUGGAGGAAUACCAGUGGCGAAGGCGGCUCUCUGGACCAAUACUGACGCUGAGGUGCGAAAGCGUGGGUAGCAAACGGGAUUAGAUACCCCGGUAGUCCACGCCGUAAACGAUGUCAACUAACUGUUGGGCGGGGGUUUCCGCUUAGUGGUGCAGCUAACGCAAUAAGUUGACCGCCUGGGGAGUACGGCCGCAAGGCUAAAACUCAAAUGAAUUGACGGGGGCCCGCACAAGCGGUGGAGCAUGUGGUUUAAUUCGAUGCAACGCGAAGAACCUUACCUACCCUUGACAUACAGAGAACUUUCUAGAGAUAGAUCGGUGCCUUCGGGAGCUCUGAGACAGGUGCUGCAUGGCUGUCGUCAGCUCGUGUUGUGAGAUGUUGGGUUAAGUCCCGUAACGAGCGCAACCCUUAUCCUUAGUUGCUAGCAGGUAAUGCUGAGAACUCUAGGGAGACUGCCGGUGAUAAACCGGAGGAAGGUGGGGACGACGUCAAGUCAUCAUGGCCCUUAUGGGUAGGGCCUACACGCGUGCUACAACGGCCAGUACAAAGGGCAGCGAACUAGUGAUAGUGAGCGAAUCCCAGAAAGCCGGUCGUAGUCCGGAUUGGAGUCUGCAACUCGACUCCAUGAAGUCGGAAUCGCUAGUAAUCGUGGAUCAGAAUGCCGCGGUGAAUACGUUCCCGGGCCUUGGUACACACCGCCCGUCACACCAUGGGAGUGGGUUGCAAAAGAAGUAGGUAGUC
rnacentral:rRNA from 1 species